rnacentral:rRNA from 1 species
UUACACAUGCAGUCGAGGGGUAUCCUAGCAAUAGGAGAGACCGGCGCACGGGUGCGUAACGCGUAUGCAAUCUACCUUUCACAAAGGGAUAGCCCAGAGAAAUUUGGAUUAAUACCUUAUAGUAUAGCGACUUCGCAUGGAGAUGUUAUUAAAGAUUUAUCGGUGAAAGAUGAGCAUGCGUCCCAUUAGCUAGUUGGUAAGGUAACGGCUUACCAAGGCUACGAUGGGUAGGGGUCCUGAGAGGGAGAUCCCCCACACUGGUACUGAGACACGGACCAGACUCCUACGGGAGGCAGCAGUGAGGAAUAUUGGUCAAUGGGCGCAAGCCUGAACCAGCCAUGCCGCGUGCAGGAUGACGGUCCUAUGGAUUGUAAACUGCUUUUGUACAGGAAGAAACACUCGGACGUGUCCGAGCUUGACGGUACUGUAAGAAUAAGGAUCGGCUAACUCCGUGCCAGCAGCCGCGGUAAUACGGAGGAUCCAAGCGUUAUCCGGAAUCAUUGGGUUUAAAGGGUCCGUAGGCGGCUUAAUAAGUCAGUGGUGAAAUCCCUACGCUUAACGUAGGAACGGCCAUUGAUACUGUUAGGCUUGAAUUAUUAGGAAGUAACUAGAAUAUGUAGUGUAGCGGUGAAAUGCUUAGAGAUUACAUGGAAUACCAAUUGCGAAGGCAGGUUACUACUAAUGGAUUGACGCUGAUGGACGAAAGCGUGGGUAGCGAACAGGAUUAGAUACCCUGGUAGUCCACGCCGUAAACGAUGGAUACUAGCUGUUGGGAGCAAUCUCAGUGGCUAAGCGAAAGUGAUAAGUAUCCCACCUGGGGAGUACGUUCGCAAGAAUGAAACUCAAAGGAAUUGACGGGGGCCCGCACAAGCGGUGGAGCAUGUGGUUUAAUUCGAUGAUACGCGAGGAACCUUAC